ACCCCCAAAAUUUAUUGUUUUUUUGUUUUUGUGUGAAAAUCUUAAUGCGAUUCACAGAAUACAUCUACUUACCGAGUUUCAACAGUAGGUAUAGUUCUUAUAAGUAUAUAGGUAUCUACCUA